rnacentral:miRNA from 1 species
CUUUGAAGCUUUGAAGCUCCUCACUGACUUCUCACUAGCUAUGAAAGUCCUAG